UGGAAACCCUGGGGCCGGGGCACGAGACGGGCCAGACGGCGAUGGACGACGACGACGAAUCUCUCCCUUUUUUUUCUUUUUCGAAUCAAAGGCGACGAAUCUUUUUCCAACGGUUUUUCGGCUUAUUAUUUCUGUGACUGUAAGCAAUCACGAUUCAUUUGAAUCCAUUCUCUGAAUGUGUGAAUUGUGAAAUACUCUCCCAUGGCGGCGCAGUGGCGGUGGUGGCCGUGGGAGAACGCCACCGUCACUGCCGUUCAUUCCCUUGAAGUCGCCCGGACGAUAUUCAAAGCAUUGACCAAGCCCUAAUGGGAUUCCGAGAUUGCAUUGACAAGUGGGUUUGGACGCCGCUCAGAUAUUUUUGGAUACACAUUCUUACAUUAUGGCACAACACAGAAGGAAAGGAUCUCAUCUGAGACUUCUUUAGGCUUCUCCUGCUG